UGGGGAAUAUUGGGCAAUGGGCGAAAGCCUGACCCAGCAACGCCGCGUGAAGGAAGAAGGUUUUCGGAUUGUAAACUUCUGUCCUCAGGGAAGAAGAAAGUGACGGUACCUGAGGAGGAAGCCCCGGCUAACUACGUGCCAGCAGCCGCGGUAAUACGUAGGGGGCGAGCGUGGUCCGGAAUGACUGGGCGUAAAGGGCGCGUAGACGGCUGUCUAAGUCUGGAGUGAAAGUCCUGUUUUCAAGAUGGGAAUUGCUUUGGAGACUGGAUGGCUUGAGUGCGGAAGAGGUAAGUGGAAUUCCCAGUGUAGCGGUGAAAUGCGUAGAGAUUGGGAGGAACACCAGUGGCGAAGGCGACUUACUGGGCCGUAACUGACGUUGAUGCGCGAAAGCGUGGGGAGUGAACA
rnacentral:rRNA from 1 species